AGCUAGGGGAGCAAACAGGAUUAGAUACCCUGGUAGUCCUAGCCCUAAACCAUCAGGACUUGGGGUUUGCCCUGUACGGGGCAAGUCCCGUAGCUAACGCGUUAAGUCCUGCGCCUGGGGAGUACGGUCGCAAGACUGAAACUCAAAGGAAUUGACGGGGGCCCGCACAAGCGGUGGAACAUGUGGUUCAAUUCGACGCAACGCGAAGAACCUUACCUGGGCUUGAACCGCACAGGACCAUCUUUGGAAACAGAGACUCCCCGCAAGGGACCUGUGUAGAGGUGCUGCAUGGCUGUCGUCAGCUCGUGCCGUGAGGUGUUGGGUUAAGUCCCGCAACGAGCGCAACCCUUACUCGUAGUUGCCACCCGCAAGGGGGAACUCUACGAGGACUGCUCCGGAUAACGGAGAGGAAGGUGGGGAUGAGGUCAAGUCAGCAUGGCCUUUAUGUCCAGGGCCACACACGUGUUACAAUGCGCGCCACAAAGCGUUGCAAACCCGCGAGGGGGAGCUAAUCGCAAAAAAGCGCGCUCAGUUCGGAUUGCAGUCUGCAACUCGACUGCAUGAAGCCGGAAUCGCUAGUAAUGGCGCAUCAGAACGGCGCCGUGAAUACGUUCCCGGGCCUUGCACACACCGCCCGUCACAUCACGAAAGUGGGCUGUACUAGAAAUCGCCGUGCCAACCGCAAGGGGGCAGGCGCUCAAGGUAUGACUCAUGA
rnacentral:rRNA from 1 species